CGAAAGUUGAACGGAUAGGACGCUUCGCUGCGAGUGCGCGAUUAUUUAUUGCGUAGAAUAUUCUUUCCACUGUUAAAAGCUGAUUGCUGAGAAAGGACUUUCAAGAUGUGAUAUCGAUGCAACGCGAUCGAUGGAAUCAGUGUUUGUCGAUUCGUAAUAAAGUAUUUUUAUUUUUUAUUUUUUCGAGCACAGCUGCUCUAAUUCAAUUUAGUUGUAACAAUUAAUUCGCGAAAUUAGAAUCAGUGUUUGUUCCCGAUUAUAAAUUGAACGGACGCGUCUUUCAUUUUUAUUUUUUUUUACAAAUUUUCGUUUUCGUGACAGUGGUUUCUAGUGGUUUCAGUGGUAAAGUUAGUGCUUCUUUCAAGAACAUGAAGGCGAUCAUCCAUCACGCGAAGAGUUUUCAUCCUCCUACUUGACGACAACUUCGCGAUGAGUCAUCGAUGACGACGGGGAUUCUUCGCAUCUAACGCAAGAGGCAAAAGGAGAACAGGAUGAUACCUAGAGCCAGACAUCGGUAGCGUCGAAGGGUCAGAGGUUGCGAUGGGCAAACAUCCGGCUGACUGCGGGACGCCUCCGAUAAAUCACGGCGGAAACGCGUAACGCGCUCGAGCAGCAAGAAGACGAGGAAGGAAGACGAUUCGUCGCGUGAGCGAGCCGCGGCAGAGAGCGUACGCUUUGAAUUUGUGUGCAAGCUUUUGGGGAAGAAAUUUAUUGGCAGAGGUAAAGAACUUUCGAAGAUUAACCUGGCCUUGGACAGUUGGAUGUUUAUCUUUCAGAUAAGAUUGUUUGUAAUUUUCCUCGUUAUUGAACUGGUUUACAUUAACGAAUAUAUCUUUGUAUGAAAUUUUAUAUGAAAAGAGAUGCGCGAAUAUAAAUAUCGCAAACUCUCAAGAGAGGUUUGCGAAUUUU